AAUUCAAAGUGUACACUCUCUUUCAAUUUAUAACAUGAACCGCCAAAAUGCGCUGUCAAGUGCGUUGAAAGUGUCAGAAUAGACAAAGAGUUGUCUUUAACCAAUCUGUUUUCUAAUCCAGACUUAUUUGACAUGUGCCGACUUUUUUUUCCGCGAUGAGAAUAAUAAUUGAGAUGAAGUAACUUCAUUAGACUGGCUAAUGACAUGACUAAAACCAUGCUGCUUUUCACCUACCAUUUGGAGAUAAACAUGUAAAUUGGCACGACACAUUUUUCGAAUUCCUCUUCAAUCAAGUAGCUGCUGCUGCUGCUGUUUCUGUGAUCGAUCAAUUGAC